rnacentral:snRNA from 1 species
GGAUAUAGGCUUCGGGAUGUGGCUGCAACAUCUAUCACCCCACUGGUCGCCAGGGUUGUUUUGGCUGAUCUGGCUGGCUAGGCGGAUGUCCCCUUCCUCCCUCACCACUCCAUGUGCGUCCCUCCCGAAGCUGCACACUGGGUUGAAGAGCACGACCUAACCCGCAGAGUAGGACCUGUCUUCUUCGGUCAGGGUAUACGUAGCUGCACUCCCCUGCUAGAACCUCCACACCAGCUCUCAAGAAUAUGGGCUUUGGAUCAGGGGUACUGGCUUUGGUGCCUGUGUGACC